AAACGUCCAUCCACGGUGCUCAAGGAGCAAGUUAGUGCAUGUGGCCUGUUGGUUUAUAGCCAGUGCUUUAGAUGCAAAAGCCCAGACUUAAAAACCUCUAGGCAGCAAUCUCUGGACUCUGGUGGUGAAGAAUUCAUAGAUCUCACAGGUGAAUCUUCCAAGCCAAUCUAACUGGCGAUAGUUCUGUUGUGCACAUGGCCAACAGGUCCUGUUAGUUCUCCAGUUUGGGUGGAUAUGAACUCAGAGCUUCCUGAAGAGUAUAUACAACAAAUGAGAAAUCUUUCACU